GAUGAACGCUGGCGGCGUGCCUAAUACAUGCAAGUCGAGCGAACGGACGAGAAGCUUGCUUCUCUGAUGUUAGCGGCGGACGGGUGAGUAACACGUGGAUAACCUACCUAUAAGACUGGGAUAACUUCGGGAAACCGGAGCUAAUACCGGAUAAUAUUUUGAACCGCAUGGUUCAAAAGUGAAAGACGGUCUUGCUGUCACUUAUAGAUGGAUCCGCGCUGCAUUAGCUAGUUGGUAAGGUAACGGCUUACCAAGGCAACGAUGCAUAGCCGACCUGAGAGGGUGAUCGGCCACACUGGAACUGAGACACGGUCCAGACUCCUACGGGAGGCAGCAGUAGGGAAUCUUCCGCAAUGGGCGAAAGCCUGACGGAGCAACGCCGCGUGAGUGAUGAAGGUCUUCGGAUCGUAAAACUCUGUUAUUAGGGAGGAACAUAUGUGUAAGUAACUGUGCACAUCUUGACGGUACCUAAUCAGAAAGCCACGGCUAACUACGUGCCAGCAGCCGCGGUAAUACGUAGGUGGCAAGCGUUAUCCGGAAUUAUUGGGCGUAAAGCGCGCGUAGGCGGUUUUCUAAGUCUGAUGUGAAAGCCCACGGCUCAACCGUGGAGGGUCAUUGGAAACUGGAAAACUUGAGUGCAGAAGAGGAAAGUGGAAUUCCAUGUGUAGCGGUGAAAUGCGCAGAGAUAUGGAGGAACACCAGUGGCGAAGGCGACUUUCUGGUCUGUAACUGACGCUGAUGUGCGAAAGCGUGGGGAUCAAACAGGAUUAGAUACCCUGGUAGUCCACGCCGUAAACGAUGAGUGCUAAGUGUUAGGGGGUUUCCGCCCCUUAGUGCUGCAGCUAACGCAUUAAGCACUCCGCCUGGGGAGUACGACCGCAAGGUUGAAACUCAAAGGAAUUGACGGGGACCCGCACAAGCGGUGGAGCAUGUGGUUUAAUUCGAAGCAACGCGAAGAACCUUACCAAAUCUUGACAUCCUUUGACAACUCUAGAGAUAGAGCCUUCCCCUUCGGGGGACAAAGUGACAGGUGGUGCAUGGUUGUCGUCAGCUCGUGUCGUGAGAUGUUAGGUUAAGUCCCGCAACGAGCGCAACCCUUAAGCUUAGUUGCCAUCAUUAAGUUGGGCACUCUAAGUUGACUGCCGGUGACAAACCGGAGGAAGGUGGGGAUGACGUCAAAUCAUCAUGCCCCUUAUGAUUUGGGCUACACACGUGCUACAAUGGACAAUACAAAGGGCAGCGAAACCGCGAGGUCAAGCAAAUCCCAUAAAGUUGUUCUCAGUUCGGAUUGUAGUCUGCAACUCGACUACAUGAAGCUGGAAUCGCUAGUAAUCGUAGAUCAGCAUGCUACGGUGAAUACGUUCCCGGGUCU
rnacentral:rRNA from 1 species